rnacentral:rRNA from 1 species
UCGGGAAUUUUGGGCAAUGGGCGAAAGCCUGACCCAGCAACGCCGCGUGAGGGAUGAAGUAUUUCGGUAUGUAAACCUCGAAAGAAUGGGAAGAAUAAAUGACGGUACCAUUUAUAAGCUCCGGCUAACUACGUGCCAGCAGCCGCGGUAAUACGUAGGGAGCAAGCGUUGUUCGGAUUUACUGGGCGUAAAGGGCGCGUAGGCGGCGCGGUAAGUCACUUGUGAAAUCUCUGAGCUUAACUCAGAACGGCCAAGUGAUACUGCUGUGCUAGAGUGCGGAAGAGGCAACCGGAAUUCUUGGUGUAGCGGUGAGAUGCGUAGAUAUCAAGAGGAACACCUGAGGCGAAGGCGGGUUGCUGAGCCGACACUGACGCUGAUGCGCGAAAGCCAGGGGAGCAAACG